ensembl:miRNA
CCUGAACUCACUUUGUAGCCCAGGCUGGGCUUGAACUCACAGUAAUCCUCCUGCCUCAGCCUCCUGAGUGUUGGGAU